ACGGAAGGCAGCAGUGAGGAAUAUUGGUCAAUGGACGGAAGUCUGAACCAGCCAAGUCGCGUGAAGGAGGCGGUUCUAUGGAUUGUAAACUUCUUUUGUAUGAGGGUAAAGUGACCUACGUGUAGGUUAUUGCAAGUAUCAUGUGAAUAAGCAUCGGCUAACUCCGUGCCAGCAGCCGCGGUAAUACGGAGGAUGCGAGCGUUAUCCGGAUUUAUUGGGUUUAAAGGGUGCGUAGGCGGGCUGUUAAGUCAGCGGUGAAAGUUUGCGGCUCAACCGUAAAAUUGCCGUUGAAACUGGCGGUCUUGAGUGUAAACGAGGUAGGCGGAAUGUGAUGUGUAGCGGUGAAAUGCUUAGAUAUGUCACAGAACUCCGAUUGCGAAGGCAGCUUACCAGGAUACAACUGACGCUGAGGCACGAAAGCGUGGGUAUCAAACAGGAUUAGAUACCCUGGUA
rnacentral:rRNA from 1 species